UGAGUGCUUCCUCUUCAGCUCCCUCACACACCGCACUGAUGCCGGAGCCAGAAGAUGACGUCAUAUUCUGGCUCCGGCAUCAGUAUGCGGUGCGUGAGGGAGCUGAAGAGGAAGCACUCA